rnacentral:rRNA from 1 species
UACGUAGGCAGCGAGCGUUGUUCGGAGUUACUGGGCGUAAAGCGUGCGUAGGCGGUGGUCCAAGUCUGGUGUGAAAUCUCCCGGCUUAACUGGGAGGGUGCGCCGGAAACUGCAAAGCUUGAGUACAGAAGAGGAUCGCGGAAUUCCCGGUGUAGAGGUGAAAUUCGUAGAUAGUCGGGAGGAACACCAGUGGCGAAGGCGGCGAUCUGGGCUGAUACUGACGCUGAGGAGCGAAAGCGUGGGGAGCGAACAGG